UCAAAGCUUCUACAUCAUACUUGAUUUAAUUCCAACAAAAGGUGCCCCAUUGAACAGAGGUGUGUGGAUAUUGUAUAUAAACUACCCUUAGCAUCGAUUUCUAAGUUAUGUGGGACUAUUUUGCAAGUUGGUGCUUCAUUCCUGCCUCCUCACUAAACAAGUUGCAGAUUCUUUGUUGAUCUUUGGGUCGCUUGUUUGCUUACCAUACCAAUAUGCCUUCUAGCUUGUCAGAUCAAUAUCUAAGUGUCUAAGCUUUGAACCAGCUCCUUUCGUUGCAUAUUCAAUACCACUGCAGGAUGAAAAUCGCACAAUCUUUUAUGCCAUAUCUAUGCAGUAUUGACAAUAGCUCUAUCAGUUGUUUUCUUGUUCUUCAUUGGAUCAAAUGAAAAACUUUUGAUUUUCAUUUUAGUGUUGAAAAAUUGCCUUAUUAUUAGCGUCUUUGAUCAAACAUUAUUUAUUUUUAAAGAUGACUCUACAACCUUUCUCAAUUAAUUGACUCACACUUAGAAAGGUUUGAUCAACCUCGUGUACUUACAGAACAUAGGAAAUUAGCUUCAUACAUGUAUAGUUAUUUGAAGCAAGUGUCUUAAGGAGCUUCUGAAGACAAAAAAAAAUAGCUUACACGUUAAUUUUUUUCAAAAGGUAUUUGAAUAAGCUCACAGUCAUUGACUAGUAUUGAUAUAACUGUUGGAAGUUGCAAUUGCAACCCUCAAAAAAACAAUUAAGCAAUACAAGGAAUAUAUCAAACUGAAUAACUAGAUAUAAUCCCGUCAUCAUUUGGGUUGGGUUGGUGCCCCAAUUACUUUCAUCUUGAAACUAUCAGUCAGAACUCUUAACAUCAUGACACCAGGUACAACUUCAAUGUUUGUUUGGCAAAGAAAAAUUCAUGCCAUAAUAACUAAAAGUCAACCUUUUCAUCCACAACACACUAUUUACAUUAGUAACUUCAAGAUUAUGAACAAGAGAUAGACACAAAUGGUAAUGAAAAAGACUAAUGAACUUAUUUUAUGAUUGUGUUUUUUUUGACAGCCUCUUUCUGAUCUCCAUGAUGGCCUCAUAUCUUCUUUUGGUUAAAUCUUUCAUUGUCUCUUGAUAUUGCCGUUCAACUUUCUCUAACUCUAUUCUCGACUCAUCCUCAGAUUCAUAGAAAUUGUUACUUUCGAUGCUCGGAGACUUGCUCUUUUCAUCAGAGGAUGCCCCGAUCUCAGAUGCAUGCCUGGAUUGACUCCGUCCAUUCACCGUAGGUAAGUUGAAGUCUGUGAAUCCCGACCUAGCAGACGUGAAUGAAGCAGUAGAAAGAUUCUUCUCGUUAUAAUCAGAUGUUGCUGAAGUGUAUGAUGUGACGGAACAUAAAUCAUUAGUGUUUGAUGCAUGGGAUGAAACUUCUUCAAAAUUCAAGUUAUCGAUGUUUUCUUUUUCA